UACCAGCACCCCGAGUGGUCGGGACGUUUAUUGGGCCUAAAGCAUCCGUAGCCGGUUCUACAAGUCUUCCGUUAAAUCCACCUGCUUAACAGAUGGGCUGCGGAAGAUACUAUGGAGCUAGGAGGCGGUAGAGGCAAGCGGUACUCGAUGGGUAGGGGUAAAAUCCGUUGAUCCAUUGAAGACCACCAGUGGUGAAGGCGGCUUGCCAGAACGCGCUCGACGGUGAGGGAUGAAAGCUGGGGGAGCAAACCGG
rnacentral:rRNA from 1 species